GAGUUGCAAAUGUCCUUAUCCUCCUCCCAAAGGGCAUUUGUUAGAACAGCAGCACUCCUCCUCCCAGUUGCUGUUCGGUUCUUUUCGAAAGCCUGCCGCACCUCCUCCCGCGGCAGGCUUUUUCG
rnacentral:sRNA from 1 species